CAGUCGCCACGGUAAUACGGAGGGUGCAAGCGUUACUCGGAAUCACUGGGCGUAAAGGACGCGUAGGCGGAUUAUCAAGUCUCUUGUGAAAUCUAACGGCUUAACCGUUAAACUGCUUGGGAAACUGAUAAUCUAGAGUAAGGGAGAGGCAGAUGGAAUUCUUGGUGUAGGGGUAAAAUCCGUAGAGAUCAAGAAGAAUACCCAUUGCGAAAGCGAUCUGCUGGAACUUAACUGACGCUAAUGCGUGAAAGCGUGGGGAGCAAACGGGAUUAGAUACCCGAGUAGUCCCUGUCUCUUAUAC
rnacentral:rRNA from 1 species